CCAGAGAUGUGAACAACAGACAGCAAAAUGGACUCUAGUGGUCUUUACGGAGCAUGGAAGUGGCCUCCACGCUUGACAGAGGAAGAGAAAGAAGUACAGAAGUACAUUCACUCUUACGUAACUGCCCUGCCUGUUGGAAAAAUGGGCCCUCUUGAAGAGAUGGGAAUUUAGCUCCCAGUUAAGACAGCAGAAAUUCCCUUUCAGGAGAGGGGGCUGGCGUGGUCAGAUGGAAGUCCCAGAUUCUACAAUCCAUCAGCUUUCGAAGGGAUUCUACAGAGCUCUCUUGGCAUUAUGGAUGGACAAGAGCCAGGAUGAAGUUGGUUUGAAAAAUAAUUUAGCCAUCUAAGGUGAAGAAAUUAGUUAUCCCAAUAUAACUUUCUAUAUGGAGGGCUUACCUAGUCCCUCUGAAGAGAAAUUUCUGAGAGGAUGGAAAAAGGUAAUGGAAGAGUUAUGACUGAAAUAAGAAGUUGUCAAAGUUUAAUUGAAAGAGUUGACACCAGUAGAUGGUCUUAAUCUGCGAACA